CCUACGGGGGGCAGCAGUGAGGAAUAUUGGUCAAUGGGCGCGAGCCUGAACCAGCCAAGUAGCGUGAAGGAUGACUGCCCUACGGGUUGUAAACUUCGUUUAUAGGGGAAUAAAAUGUUACACGUGUGGGAUUUUGUAUGGACCAUAUGAAUAAGGAUCGGCUAACUCCGUGCCAGCAGCCGCGGUAAUACGGAGGAUCCGAGCGUUAUCCGGAUUGAUGGGGUUUAAAGGGAGCGUAGGGGGCUUGUUAAGUCAGUUGUGAAAGUUAGCGGCUCCCCCGUAAAAUUGCAGUUGAAACUGGCAGUCUUGAGUACAGUAGCGGUGGGCGGACUUCGUGGUGUAGCGG
rnacentral:rRNA from 1 species